rnacentral:rRNA from 1 species
AGUGGCGAACGGGUGAGUAACACGUGAGUAACCUGCCCCCGACUCUGGGAUAAGCACUGGAAACGGUGUCUAAUACCGGAUACGAGCUUCAGCCGCAUGGCUAGGAGUUGGAAAGAAUUUCGGUUGGGGAUGGACUCGCGGCCUAUCAGCUAGUUGGUGAGGUAAUGGCUCACCAAGGCGACGACGGGUAGCCGGCCUGAGAGGGUGACCGGCCACACUGGGACUGAGACACGGCCCAGACUCCUACGGGAGGCAGCAGUGGGGAAUAUUGCACAAUGGGCGCAAGCCUGAUGCAGCAACGCCGCGUGAGGGACGACGGCCUUCGGGUUGUAAACCUCUUUUAGUAGGGAAGAAGCGAAAGUGACGGUACCUGCAGAAAAAGCACCGGCUAACUACGUGCCAGCAGCCGCGGUAAUACGUAGGGUGCAAGCGUUGUCCGGAAUUAUUGGGCGUAAAGAGCUCGUAGGCGGUUUGUCGCGUCUGCUGUGAAAACCCGAGGCUCAACCUCGGGCCUGCAGUGGGUACGGGCAGACUAGAGUGCGGUAGGGGAGAUUGGAAUUCCUGGUGUAGCGGUGGAAUGCGCAGAUAUCAGGAGGAACACCAAUGGCGAAGGCAGAUCUCUGGGCCGUAACUGACGCUGAGGAGCGAAAGCAUGGGGAGCGAACAGGAUUAGAUACCCUGGUAGUCCAUGCCGUAAACGUUGGGAACUAGAUGUGGGGACCAUUCCACGGUCUCCGUGUCGCAGCUAACGCAUUAAGU